GCGCCCGUAGCUCAGCUGGAUAGAGCACCGCCCUCCUAAGGCGGGGGUCACACGUUCAAAUCGUGUCGGGCGCACCA
rnacentral:tRNA from 1 species